rnacentral:rRNA from 1 species
AACGAACGCUGGCGGCAUGCCUAACACAUGCAAGUCGAACGAGACCUUCGGGUCUAGUGGCGCACGGGUGCGUAACGCGUGGGAACCUGCCCUUAGGUUCGGAAUAACUCCCCGAAAGGGGUGCUAAUACCGGAUAAUGUCUUCGGACCAAAGAUUUAUCGCCUUUGGAUGGGCCCGCGUUGGAUUAGCUAGUUGGUAGGGUAAAAGCCUACCAAGGCGACGAUCCAUAGCUGGUCUGAGAGGAUGAUCAGCCGCACUGGGACUGAGACACGGCCCAGACUCCUACGGGAGGCAGCAGUGGGGAAUAUUGGACAAUGGGCGAAAGCCUGAUCCAGCAAUGCCGCGUGAGUGAUGAAGGCCUUAGGGUUGUAAAGCUCUUUUACCCGGGAUGAUAAUGACAGUACCGGGAGAAUAAGCGCCGGCUAACUCCGUG